rnacentral:rRNA from 1 species
AAUCAACGCUGGCGGCGUGCCUCAGACAUGCAAGUCGAACGCGAAAGUUUCCUUCGGGAAGCGAGUAGAGUGGCGCACGGGUGAGUAACACGUAAGUAAUCUACCCUUGGGUGGGGAAUAACAUCGGGAAACCGAUGCUAAUACCGCAUAAUGCAGCGGCUUCAUAUGAAGACAGUUGUUAAAGCAUUUAUGUGCCUGAGGAGGAGCUUGCGGCAGAUUAGCUAGUUGGUAAGGUAAUGGCUUACCAAGGCGACGAUCUGUAGCCGACCUGAGAGGGUGGUCGGUCACACUGACACUGAAUAACGGGUCAGACUCCUACGGGAGGCAGCAGUCGGGAAUUUUGGGCAAUGGGCGCAAGCCUGACCCAGCAACGCCGCGUGAAGGAUGAAGUAUUUCGGUAUGUAAACUUCGUAAAAUAGGAAGAAUAAAUGACGGUACUAUUUGUAAGGUCCGGCUAACUACGUGCCAGCAGCCGCGGUAAG